AGUGAACGCUGGCGGUAGGCCUAACACAUGCAAGUCGAACGGCAGCACAGUAAGAGCUUGCUCUUACGGGUGGCGAGUGGCGGACGGGUGAGGAAUACAUCGGAAUCUACUUUUUCGUGGGGGAUAACGUAGGGAAACUUACGCUAAUACCGCAUACGACCUACGGGUGAAAGCAGGGGAUCUUCGGACCUUGCGCGAUUGAAUGAGCCGAUGUCGGAUUAGCUAGUUGGCGGGGUAAAGGCCCACCAAGGCGACGAUCCGUAGCUGGUCUGAGAGGAUGAUCAGCCACACUGGAACUGAGACACGGUCAAGACUCCUGCGGGAGGCAGCAGAGGGGAAUAUUGGACAAUGGGCGCAAGCCUGAUCCAGCCAUACCGCGUGGGUGAAGAAGGCGUUCGGGUUGUAAAGCCGUUUUGUUGGGAAAGAAAAGCAGCAGGUUAAUACCCCGCUGUUCUGACGGUACCCAAAGAAUAAGCACCGGCUAACUUCGUG
rnacentral:rRNA from 1 species